rnacentral:lncRNA from 1 species
AAUUUAUAUGCUAUAUAAAUAUAAACAUUUCUAUGAUUAAAUUUAUUUUUUAGUUGUAUUAUACAUCAAACUGUAGUUUUGUACAAAAUUAUUAUGUACCAAAUUUUGACUACGUUAACGCCCAAUGGCCUUGUACAAUGCCAUACCUAUAACUCAUUAACCAAAAGUCAAAAAUUCACAAAAUUGGUAAUGUACAUAAGUUAUACCCCAAAAGUUACAAAAAUUACAAAAAAAAAUUUUUUUCAAAAAAAAAAAAAAUUCGGGACUUAAAGGGUUAAAUCAAAUUUAGAGUGAAUUCCCGCACUUCAGGCAGGGCUUAUCGUUAUAGAUAUAUUAUAUCUUAAACACUGAUAAGUUUGAAUAAAUUGAUAGACACGGUACAUAUAGCGUACGAGUAUAGGACAAAAUCGGGUUGGUGGUAUGUACCUCAGGUUAAAUUAAUUAAUCAACAGUUUCGUGAUUUUUCGCACCGCAGUCACGAUAUGAGUGUUGCGUCAAGUGACUAUUGAAAACGAAUGAUUGGGUUCCUUGUAUUUAUAGUUUGAUAAAUUCUCUACAUGCUUCAUAACAAUGCAAUUUAAUGUCUACAGAGUCUGAGUUAAACGUGAAUUUACAAAUCUAGAUUUACAUUAUCUAACGUCGUUAUUCUGUCGCUGUAUGUUUAUACACAUAUUAUAUAUAUAUAAUAUGUUUGUGUCAAUUUUAUAUUCAUAUAGUCAUAUGCAAAUAACCGUGACAAAAGGUGACACAAAGGGCAAUAGUGCUGAAUGGAUAAACUGGUGAUAAUAGCGGCUGUCGUUUGGUGUGUAAAAAAUAACCGUAUAGAUAAAAGCCACAUCAAAAAUAGAACAAAAUGAUUUUAAUGAUUCGGCACAAACAAAACUAUAUUUACCUGCGGAAAUAGUAGUUAAUACAAUUAUCAUAUUUUUAUGUUACUGUUUAGAAACAGGUAAAUCCACGUUUUAAAAGUUGUGACGUAGGAAAAAUUAUGACACCCACCCAUGGUGGUUUUAUAUAAGAAGUCGAGGGAUGUUUUCAAUUUUAAUUGUCCAAGCAAGCACAGUGAUCGAGUGACUUCGCCGGGUGUAUAUGAAAAUACCAAAAAUUUCAAUUAGUAAAACAGAAAAGUUAAUGCAGUGAAAUAUUCCGUUAUACGAAUACGUAAAACACAAAAAAUCCUGAACUUUGUAAGGCUAUAACUUAAAAACUAAUGAUUUCCGUCAAUUAAUUUUUGCAACAUCGUUCUGAAUUUGAUGUAAUACAUGGGUUUGAAAAUUUUGAAUGGGCUCUAAACUAAAUUUAUUCUCGAUAAGUUAUUGUAAUUAUUAUAUGUAUACCUAACAUAAUAUAUUAUAUUUGGAAAGUGUCCAUAUUAAAUAAUUCCAGUAGUUUUAACCUGUCUUAAACUCCGCUUAAUAUAAACUAUAUAUAUUUUUAAUAAAGUAAUUUGGGUGAUAUUGACCAAAUAAAAAAUACAAGUCUAAAAUGAUGUACAAUUAUAAUAACUAUUUUAAUUUAUGUAAUAAAUGGCAACCCUAAACAAACAAAAAAAUAUUCGUAUUUCAUAAGCCAACAAAUCCCUGUGCGAGCCGCUCUCUAAAAAAUAAAACUUCUAUUCUGGGGUAUAUAGGAUUACCUAUGUACCAAAUUUCAAAACCAUGAAUGCGAUAGACUUAACUAUGGAUCGCUUAUACACAUACACAAACAUUGGCUUUUAUUAAUAUACUUUAGCUGUAUUACUAUGCCCGGGGAUAAAUGAAAUAUAGAUGUGCAAAUCCACCUGCGCGGAUAGUGUUAUAAGUAACUUUUUAUUCUUACAUGAACCAAUAUUGCCAGCAGAAAUAAACGGACAUAAUGUGGUUAUAAUUUUAAUAUUAUUAAUAGCGAGUAUAAGUCACCCUAAAUAAUGAUUGUAUAAUAUUAUCUAAAUAUCUCUUGAAUCGUCAACAUCGGUAGAGUAUUUUUCGAUUCUAUAAGCCACAGCCACACUCUUUGCCUUUUAAAUUAUAUAAUAGCUGUACUCUUGGCAAUAUUCUAAUACUAUUACGACCCGUCCCAAAUAAUAUUAUACAUGUGCAAAAUUUGGUGCCAAUCGGUCAGGAAUGCGCGCUAAACAUAGCUAUAUAAAAACCAAGUUUCUGUGUCUUAAAUGUUGUUUUGGAUUGAAUCUUAUUUCUUACAUAUUUCUAAAUUAUGAACGUGUAAAAUACCAAGAAAAUUAAAUUACAUUAAUGCUAUUUCAUAAAUAAUUUAUCAACCUACAUAUUUAUGGAUACUGAGCAGAUUAUAUCAUUAUUACAUUAUUAUUUUUGAUCAAAAUCAUGGAAAAU